AACGAACGCUGGCGGCAUGCCUAACACAUGCAAGUCGAACGAGACCUUCGGGUCUAGUGGCGCACGGGUGCGUAACGCGUGGGAACCUGCCCUUAGGUUCGGAAUAACUCCCCGAAAGGGGUGCUAAUACCGGAUAAUGUCUUCGGACCAAAGAUUUAUCGCCUUUGGAUGGGCCCGCGUUGGAUUAGCUUGUUGGUAGGGUAAAAGCCUACCAAGGCGACGAUCCAUAGCUGGUCUGAGAGGAUGAUCAGCCACACUGGGACUGAGACACGGCCCAGACUCCUACGGGAGGCAGCAGUGGGGAAUAUUGGACAAUGGGCGAAAGCCUGAUCCAGCAAUGCCGCGUGAGUGAUGAAGGCCUUAGGGUUGUAAAGCUCUUUUACCCGGGAUGAUAAUGACAGUACCGGGAGAAUAAGCACCGGCUAACUCCGUG
rnacentral:rRNA from 1 species